rnacentral:rRNA from 1 species
GUUGCGUUAAGGGAAAGGUCGUAUAUAAGCCCUGCACUACAUGGCCUAAGUUUGGCUUGAAUUUCUCACUGUAUCCUAACGGCUACAACGGCUCCACAGAGGGUGUCAGACCCGUGAGGCUAUGUGAUUAAAUGUGCGUGGGUUCGGCUUUAUUCCCUGAGAGUCGCGUUGCUUGAGCAUGCAGCGCUAAGCAGGUCGUAAACUCGACCUAAGGCUAAAUAUAUUCACAGAACCGAUAGUAAACAAGUACCGUGAGGGAAAGUUGAAAAGUACUCUGAAGAGAGAGUCAAAAGACCGUGAAACCGCUUAGAGUAUAAGCCAAUGGUAUUCUGGAAUGCUGGAGUCUCCUGUGCAAAAUGGUUCCCGAUUGUGGGGUACGUCUGACGGGUAUCGUGAGUGCGAGAGAUCAUGAAGGCUGAUGGGCAAUCGAACCGAAAAGUGGAAUUGAGUUUAUACCACGGCACCCAUAUCUCGCGGGUCUCUGACAGUGGUAACAGGGAAUGUUCUAAUGAGGAACUGAACCGAGGCUGGGCUUCAGCGAGCAUCAGUUUCUAAGCAUUCUAACGAUUGGCUCUCUAAACAGCACACCACAAUCCUUUAUAAGGUCUCCCUCGUGAGGUGUGGUCACAGAGAGAGAGAAAUCUCUCUUUGUGUUUGUGAGUUGUGUCGCGUCUUGCCCUCUUGCUUAUGUGUGCGCUUUGGCAGCGUGCUCCAUGUCCCGUACAUAUGUGUGUAUAUAAUGGCUUUGGCUUGCCUAGGUAUAUGCAUUCGGGAAACGAUGGUCGCUCGAGGGCCGGCCAACUUUGCACUGCACCGUUCCAGACACGAACGGAAUGAUCCUAUGUGAAGAUUGAAUCUGACCAGCCAAUGCCCGGAAGUCUUGUUUUAGCUGAGCAGGACGAGUUAAUUGCACGGUUGCGCCUUGCGCCUCGGUGCUUUAAGCCCUCGAGCUGGUCUCUAUGAGGGAUAUGGUCUCGUCGAUGACUUAUGUCCCACUUGAUGACUGGCGGAAGGGUUGUGCUGAGCGGAGAGCGAGGGGCUCUCGUCGGGUGGAGGCUGUUUGGUGUAUUAUUCCAGAGCCAUCGGUCACGUCUCGAAACACGGGCCAAGGAGCAUAGCAUGUGCGCAAGUCUAAGGGAUAAGAAAUCCUGGAGGCGAAGUGAAAGCAAAUGGUGUGUUUAUGAGUGUGCUAUAUCUCUCUCUCUCACGGGGGAGUGUGUGGUGCGCUUGUAUUCAGCCUGCGAUGAGCGUAAUUCCUMCGCACCUCUGUGUGYGUGGAUGMAUUGGGCAUAGGGGCGAAAGACAGUUGGGCAUAGGGGCGAAAGACAGUUGGGCAUAGGGGCGAAAGACAGUUGGGCAUAGGGGCGAAAGACAGUUGGGCAUAGGGGCGAAAGACAGUUGGGCAUAGGGGCGAAAGACAGUUGGGCAUAGGGGCGAAAGACAGUUGGGCAUAGGGGCGAAAGACAGU